rnacentral:rRNA from 1 species
AGUGAACGCUAGCGGUAGGCCUAACACAUGCAAGUCGAACGGCAGCACAGUAAGAGCUUGCUCUUACGGGUGGCGAGUGGCGGACGGGUGAGGAAUACAUCGGAAUCUACUUUUUCGUGGGGGAUAACGUAGGGAAACUUACGCUAAUACCGCAUACGACCUACGGGUGAAAGCAGGGGAUCUUCGGACCUUGCGCGAUUGAAUGAGCCGAUGUCGGAUUAGCUAGUUGGCGGGGUAAAGGCCCACCAAGGCGACGAUCCGUAGCUGGUCUGAGAGGAUGAUCAGCCACACUGGAACUGAGACACGAUCCAGACUCCUACGGGAGGCAGCAGUGGGGAAUAUUGGACAAUGGGCGCAAGCCUGAUCCAGCCAUACCGCGUGGGUGAAGAAGGCCUUCGGGUUGUAAAGCCCUUUUGUUGGGAAAGAAAAGCAGCAGGUUAAUACCCCGCUGUUCUGACGGUACCCAAAGAAUAAGCACCGGCUAACUUCGUG